rnacentral:rRNA from 1 species
GAAACUCACCAGGUCCAAGCAUAGCAGCGAUUCAUUAGAUAUUGGAGGUCGUGAUCUUCACGACUCAUUCGGCACAUUGUGAGACAUCAAAGUUUAUGGGCUCCGGGGAAGUAUGGUCGCAAGGCUGAAACUUAAAGGAACUCCUUCGGCGCUCUAUGAGACAUACAAGUCUCUGGUCUCCGGGGGGAGUAUGGUCGCAAGGCUGAAACUUAAAGGAAUUGGCUCAACGCGGGUAAGCUCACCAGGUUCAGACAUAGCGAGGAUUGACAGACUGAUGGCUCUGUCUUGAUUCUAUGGGUGGUGGCGCAUGGCCGAUCUUGGUUGGUGGAGUGACUUGUCUGGUGAAUUCCGUUAACGAACGAGACCUUAACCUGCUAAAUCGUAACACGUAGCUUCGGUUACGCGGGCUGCUUCUGAGAGGGUCUUUGCGUGUCUAACAG